rnacentral:rRNA from 1 species
UACGAAGGUGGCAAGCGUUGUUCGGAUUUACUGGGCGUAAAGAGCGCGCAGGCGGUCGUUCAAGUCGAGUGUGAAAGCCCCCGGCUCAACUGGGGAGGGUCACUCGAUACUGAUCGACUUGAAGGCAGGAGAGGGAAGCGGAAUUCCCGGUGUAGUGGUGAAAUGCGUAGAUAUCGGGAGGAACACCAGUGGCGAAGGCGGCUUCCUGGCCUGUUCUUGACGCUGAGGCGCGAAAGCUAGGGGAGCAAACGGG